GAUGAACGCUGGCGGCGUGCUUAACACAUGCAAGUCGAACGAUGAAGCCCAGCUUGCUGGGUGGAUUAGUGGCGAACGGGUGAGUAACACGUGAGUAACCUGCCCUUAACUCUGGGAUAAGCCUGGGAAACUGGGUCUAAUACCGGAUAGGAGCGUCCACCGCAUGGUGGGUGUUGGAAAGAUUUAUCGGUUUUGGAUGGGCUCGCGGCCUAUCAGCUUGUUGGUGAGGUAAUGGCUCACCAAGGCGACGACGGGUAGCCGGCCUGAGAGGGUGACCGGCCACACUGGGACUGAGACACGGCCCAGACUCCUACGGGAGGCAGCAGUGGGGAAUAUUGCACAAUGGGCGCAAGCCUGAUGCAGCGACGCCGCAUGAGGGAUGACGGCCUUCGGGUUGUAAACCUCUUUCAGUAGGGAAGAAGCGAAAGUGACGGUACCUGCAGAAGAAGCACCGGCUAACUACGUG
rnacentral:rRNA from 1 species